UGGGGAAUAUUGCACAAUGGGCGCAAGCCUGAUGCAGCCAUGCCGCGUGUGUGAAGAAGGCCUUCGGGUUGUAAAGCACUUUCAGCGGGGAGGAAGGCGAUAAGGUUAAUAACCUUGUCGAUUGACGUUACCCGCAGAAGAAGCACCGGCUAUCUCCGUGCCAGCAGCCGCGGUAAUACGGAGGGUGCAAGCGUUAAUCGGAAUUACUGGGCGUAAAGCGCACGCAGGCGGUCUGUCAAGUCGGAUGUGAAAUCCCCGGGCUCAACCUGGGAACUGCAUUCGAAACUGGCAGGCUAGAGUCGUGUAGAGGGGGGUAGAAUUCCAGGUGUAGCGGUGAAAGGCGUAGAGAUCUGGAGGAAUACCGGUGGCGAAGGCGGCCCCCUGGACAAAGACUGACGCUCAGGUGCGAAAGCGUGGGGAGCAAACAGG
rnacentral:rRNA from 1 species